rnacentral:rRNA from 1 species
AAGAUUAAGCCAUGCAUGUCUAAGUACAAACUAUUAAAUAAAGUGAAACCGCGAAAGGCUCAUUAAAUCAGUUAUGGUUCCUUAGAUCGUACCACAAUUACUUGGAUAACUGUGGUAAUUCUAGAGCUAAUACAUGCAAACAGAGCUCUGACCGGAGACGGAAGGAGUGCUUUUAUUAGAUCAAAACCAAUCGGCGGCGAUAGCAUUUAUUUGUUAUCGUUCGUCGCUCAAUAAAUGGUGAAUCUGAAUAACUUUAUGCUGAUCGCAGGGUCUUGUACCGGCGACGCAUCUUUCAAAUGUCUGCCUUAUCAACUGUCGAUGGUAGGAUCUGCGCCUACCAUGGUUGUAACGGGUAACGGGGAAUCAGGGUUCGAUUCCGGAGAGGGAGCCUGAGAAACGGCUACCACAUCCAAGGAAGGCAGCAGGCGCGCAAAUUACCCACUCCCGGCACGGGGAGGUAGUGACGAAAAAUAACGAUACGGGACUCAUCCGAGGCCCCGUAAUCGGAAUGAGUACACUUUAAAUCCUUUAACGAGGACCAAUUGGAGGGCAAGUCUGGUGCCAGCAGCCGCGGUAAUUCCAGCUCCAAUAGCGUAUAUUAAAGUUGUUGCGGUUAAAAAGCUCGUAGUUGAACUUGUGUCCCGCACUGUCGGUUCACCGCCCGCGGUGCUAACUGACAUGUUUGCGGGACGUCCUGCCGGUGGAUGUUCAGUAGUCAUUUGGCUUUCGGGUCAUUUGUACUAUUUCAUCCGACUUAUUAAAUCCUAUCGCGGUGCUCUUAACUGAGUGUCGAGGUGGGCCGGCACGUUUACUUUGAACAAAUUAGAGUGCUCAAAGCAGGCUAAUUAAUGCCUGAAUAAUUAGUGCAUGGAAUAAUGGAACAGGACCUUGGUUCUAUUUUGUUGGUUUUCGGAACCCCAAGGUAAUGAUUAAUAGGGACGGAUGGGGGCAUUCGUAUUGCGACGUUAGAGGUGAAAUUCUUGGAUCGUCGCAAGACGGACUAAAGCGAAAGCAUUUGCCAAAGAUGUUUUCAUUAAUCAAGAACGAAAGUCAGAGGUUCGAAGGCGAUCAGAUACCGCCCUAGUUCUGACCAUAAACGAUGCCAGCUAGCGAUCCGUCAAAGUUCCUCCGAUGACUUGGCGGGCAGCUUCCGGGAAACCAAAGCUUUUGGGUUCCGGGGGAAGUAUGGUUGCAAAGCUGAAACUUAAAGGAAUUGACGGAAGGGCACCACCAGGAGUGGAGCCUGCGGCUUAAUUUGACUCAACACGGGAAACCUCACCAGGCCCAGACACUGGAAGGAUUGACAGAUUGAGAGCUCUUUCUUGAUUCAGUGGGUGGUGGUGCAUGGCCGUUCUUAGUUGG